GUCCACGCCGUAAACGGUGGGCACUAGGUGUGGGUCCUUAUCAACGGGAUCCGUGCCGUCGCUAACGCAUUAAGUGCCCCGCCUGGGGAGUACGGCCGCAAGGCUAAAACUCAAAGGAAUUGACGGGGGCCCGCACAAGCAGCGGAGCAUGUUGCUUAAUUCGAGGCAACGCGAAGAACCUUACCUGGGUUUGACAUGUACGGAAAAGCCAUAGAGAUAUGGUGUCCUUCGGGCCGUACACAGGUGGUGCAUGGCUGUCGU
rnacentral:rRNA from 1 species